GGGAAGGACAGGAGGUCAGACUUCGUGAACUGACACACCUUUGUUGUUCGUCAGGGACAUGAAGUUGAGACCCAGAGCUCUGUAAUUUUAUUCCUUUACUGCUUAAUAAACUACAUUAACUGAGACCGAAUAUCUUCUCCUAUUGCUUCAUUAAAGAACACGCAGGACUGAGCUCACACAUAGCACAUUGGAGAGUAGGAUGAGACUCUUAGUCCAACAAUUUGGUGACCCCGACGUGAUGAAGAUGGAGAAGUGAUGGAAUAAAGACAACUAUUCAGCGGAUGACAACAGUAUCGUGACAACACUUGGCCGGCCUGAGAAAAAGCUUUCUCCAAACAGGUGACAGCAGCUCGGGAGGGAGCAGAAGGAAAGGGGCAUCCAACAUCAGAGUGGGUCCUGCUCAAGGUGAUUAAAAGAAAGUGGUCGGAGCAUAGGUGGACUGGCCCCUACAAAGUCGUGGAACGGACGUCCCACGCCGUCAAACUACAGGGAAAAGGUGACACAAAGUUCAGCAUAAGUGCGGUAAAGAUAUCCUGUGAUCAAUGUGAAGGUUAGAAGCAUCUCUGAAGCAACACUUUGCCCAGAGUACGAUUGAAUAUAGAAGGCCAGGAUAUACUGAAAGUUUGCUUGCCACAUUUUUAUAUUUACACUCCAUAUUUACCUUUAUUUUUUACAUUUACAUUCAUUUAUGCAUUAUAGAGGAAAUGAUGAGAUUGUUGGGAGUAGAGCAACGCCACCAUAAGUGGUGUUGGCUGGGAGGCUUUGUACUGACCUGUGUUAUUGUUUUACCUUUUUUAUAUUUUGAGUCUUCCCCCAGAGACAAAGCCACAAAGCAACCACGAAACCGAACCAAAAGAAGCGCGGGAACAGGCAGACCUUCCGACAGCUGCAUAGAUAAGUAUGGUGGCAUUACAUUGAACUAUACGAGGGGAACAGCCAUGGGAUUUAAAUUUGACCUGUGUUCUGUGAUAAACUGUGGAGAUGAAACCCUCCAUUUAUCCCUGCCAUCCACCUGUACCGGCACAUGCGCACUGGUCCAACUGGUAGUGCCUCUGAUCCUCUUAGGGCUGAGGGACUCCCAGGCCAGUUCUAGCAGAAUGAAAAGAGACACGUUUGACAUUGGCUCUGACUCCACCACGUAUAUAGAUGCCAUAGGCGUUCCUUGUGGGGCUCCAGAUCAAUAUAAACUGCAGGUUUUGAAAACAUACCCAUACUAGCUGCACUGUUUCCCAUCACCCCUAACAAGAAUGUUGACAUAAUUAAUUAUGUUCAUUACAAUGUUCUCAGAUUGGCUAACAGUACCAGAGAUGCAGUUGGGGACUCGGAGCAGUUGGCGGCCACCUCCCUAAUGACAAUCCAGAACCCAAUUGCCUUAGAUAUGCUUUUGGCGGAGAAAGGGGGUGUCUGCUCUAUGUUCCAGGGUCUCUGCUGCACUUUCAUCCCAAAUAACACAGCUCCAGAUGGGUCAGUCACUAAAGCACUGGAAGGGCUACGUACACUGUCUGAAGAGAUGCGUGAGCAUUCAGAUAUUGAUAACCCCAUAGGCGGAGUGUUUAAACAAUCGUUUGGUAAGUGGAAGAAUCUAGUGGUAUCGUGUUUUUGUCUCUGGUGGGAAUGCUCGGGGUGUUAACAUUGUGUGGCUGUUGUUGCAUCCCAUGCAUCAGGUCUCUCUGUGAAAUGAUCAUAGUGUCAGCAGUGGAGAGAAAACAUCCACAACCCCCACCGUAUCAGAUGACUCAAAUGGAGACGGCCACCCUACUGGGGGAACCGCCGACAGAUUCAGAUUCAGAAGAAGACAAAGUAUGAGUGGUCUCAUGUGUAUGAGACCAAAAGGGGGAGUUAUAACUUUUUGUUUCAAAAGAAACAAAAAGUGCAGUAAUCACAAGACCUAAAAAGGGGGACCUGGAUACAUCGGGACUAAAAAAAAAAAAAAAAGUGACCUCAGUCCUAUGAGGCCAAAAGGGGGACUGUUGGGAACAGAAUGAUUUUAUGUGUUUUACUAUAAGUUGUGUUUCACUAUAUAAGUUUUAGAUGUGUGAACAAUGAGAAUACUGAGAUGAUUUCAGCUGAUCUGAAUGUGUUUGCUUUGCAGAAGUGGAGAAGUACAGGAGAGGAAGAGACAUGAAGUCUGAGGAGCACAUACCGCAAUGCUUAGAUAAUUAGUUUCAUAUAUGGUAAAAAGAAUAGAAAGUGAUGAACAGAUAGUAAGGUACAGCACGUGUAGGGAGUUGUGUUGUUCUCUUGUCUUUCAAAACAGGAACCACGCCCCCACCGCCAGCGGGAAGGAGUCAGAUUAACACGAGGCAGGGGCGUGGUGUGGUGAAGGAGGAAGUGGAACUGCCAAUGAGAAGAGGACAACGCCUUGCGUGCACAAUGACACUCUGUUACACUCAAAUAUACUGGGUCAGGGGAAGGACAGGAGGUCAGACUUCGUGAACUGACACACCUUUGUUGUUCGUCAGGGACGUGAAGUUGAGACCCAGAGCUCUGUAAUUUUAUUCCUUUACUGCUUAAUAAACUACAUUAACUGAGACUGAA